ACUAUGUAUAAAUACAGCGAUAUUUUCCCGCAAGCUAGGGAUCUACACGAGUUAUUAGGUACAGGAUCCAUCCGACCGUACCAUGUCCGCUGUGAAAUUUGCAUUCGUCAUAAUGUUUGCAGUCACUGUUAUCCUGAAAGAUAACUGAGACCGACACCGGACACAGGCGGCUGAGGCGGCGGCUGAGGCGGCGGCGGCGGGGGACACCAUCGCCAACCGAAACGGCUUUUGAAAUGAGCCCAUAACAGCUUACGCUGUGAAAUGCUAACUAGCCGACACCCUCUAGAAUGUAUUUGAUUGCUCCCACAUCAUAAACACUUCGCUGAGUUCAUGUUCGGACCCUUGCAUGAUGUCAAUCUAAAUGUUAAAAAAAAAACUAACACUUAAAGUUGAAAGCACUGUAAUGCAGCUGAAAGGCAACUUCGUCCACCUGUAAACUGCCUCUAUUCGAGCAUGCAAAGCAAACUAAAUUCACAAAUGUAAUGCUUCAAGUGUGGACUCCAGCCAUGAAUCCGACGUAAAAGAUGACGGAGUGGGCGUAUGAUAAAGUAUAAGAUUGCCCUAGCCGACACUCGUAUCCGUUCACCACAGCUCUGCGAUACAACCACUGCCGAUAACCAAUAAUGUGUGUGUCGUAUGCGUUUCUCCUACAAACAGUGUAAUGAUUUCCACGAGAGCUUAUAACUAUCACAUCAUAUCUGGUCGCAUUCAGAUGAGCUAACAUACAGUUUACAGAAUCGUCAUGUAGCGGGCAUCGCAAUCAUCCGCGUCGCCGACAAAGAGGGCCCGGAUCCACACAGCCCUGAAACACGCCCCGUCCCGUCACCAUCACGCCACCGGCGUUCUUCAUAAGACAGCGCUUCCUCGCCGGUUUCUCCUCAGAAAUGACCAGUGUCUCACGUUUAAAGUUAAAAAAUCCCCAGCCCUUCCCCUGUCGAGAAAAUGGGGGUAAGCGAAGUUUGUUGUGUGUGUACCUGACCUACUACUUUUCCUUCCCUUUCGUACUACUUGUCUUUCCCUUUUCUUCUACUUUUCCUUCCGUUGCGUUCAACGAUUCUCUGCUCGUCGCUGUUGUCGCUUGCGUUCGAUGUCUCGAGUUUGCUCGGUGGCGUGGUUAGCAGAAUUCGCCCGCCAUUGCCACUUGCGAUUCGUCGAAAUUAAUUUGCUUGAAAAUUAAAUCUGUCCAUUAUGUAAGACAAUGAAUGGCUCAUACCCCAUUCAGCAACGGCUGAUACCCCCCGUAAACGCGGCCUCCCCAUUACGACCACAGAAGAGAAGUGAAAAAAAUCUACGCUGGAAUGAUGAGCGGCAACAGAGCCAGCUGUUGAAGAAGACGAUGACGAACGCGGGAUAAGUGGCACGAGCGCGUGCCGGGCAUGAGCACGAGCGCAACCCGAUGGGCGCCAACCAGGCAGCUGCGGAAGAAGACGACGCUCGAGCCAAUGCUGAUGAUGAUAGUUUUCCGCGUACACCGACCACGGCACAAGUGAGAUACAGACAGACAAACAAAGAACUUUUAUAAAGGUCCUGAGGAACCGCAUUAAGGUACCUCUCUUUUCAGGGAGUCCCUGUAGUCGUCGCGGGCCACAUCCACGCCGGAGUCCGAAGAUCGUGGUCCUCCGUACUGCUGCAGGCCCUCUGGACAGCCCGUAGUUGCUCUGAGAGGUCGCCGCUCUUAAGGACUGCCUCCCAGUCCGUUAGAGUGGUAAGCGAUGAGCUGCGUAACGCAGGGCAUUGCCAGAGCAUAUGAGAUAAAGAGCAGUACGCCUCCCCACAGUCUGGACAGUGGGGUUCAACAUUAUAUAGAAAUAUCUCAAGCACCAAUGCCAAUAGCUGUUCGUCAAGAGAAAGCAACGUAUUUGCCAUUUCAGUCGUUUCAACAAAUCCAAUUGUUCAUGUAGGGUCCCCGGGAGUGAUCUAUCGUUGCUCAUAUGUUGGCGACUCUGUGUGCGGACAAGGAUGCACAUGUACCUUUAUGCCUCGCCCCCCGGUAUUUUUCUGCAGUGAUUCAACUAAACAGUGACAUGAAUAGAACGUACCAUAUAUGACGUACUUAUGUUUAGGAAAACUGAGGCAAUAAAGAUUGCUGCCAGUCACGA